CAAGUCACUCAGUCACAAUAAAGGAGGCGUGGUCUCAGUGUGUGUCACAGUAAAUGGGAGUGGCCUGUGUGUGUCAGUCACAGUGAAGGGGGUGUGGCCUGUGUGUCAGUCACAGUGAAGUGGGUGUGGCCUGCGUGUGUCACAGUGAAGGAGACGUGGCCUGUGUAUCAGUCAUAGUGAAGGAGGCAUGGCCUGAGUGUGUAUCAGUCAUAGUGAAGGAGGCAUGGCCUCUGUGUGUCAGUCACAGUGAAAUGGGAGUGGCCUGUGUGUGUCAGUCACAGUGAAGGAGGUGUGGCCUGAGUGUGUCAGUCAUAGUGAAGGAGGUGUGGCCUGUGUGUGUCAGUCACAGUGAAGGAGGUGUGGCCUGUGUGUGUCAGUCACAGUGAAGGAGGUGUGGCCUGUGUGUGUCAGUCACAGUGAAGGAGGCGUGGCCCGUGUGUAUCAGUCAUAGUGGAGGUGUAGCCUGAGUGUAUCAGUCAGUCAGGGACGCGUGGCCUGAGUGUAUCAGUCAUAGUGGAGGAGGUGUGGCCUGAGUGUAUCAGUCAUAGUGGAGGUGUAGCCUGAGUGUAUCAGUCAGUCAGGGACGCGUGGCCUGAGUGUAUCAGUCAUAGUGAAGGAGGUGUGGCCUGUGUGUGUCAGUCACAGUGAAGGAGGUGUGGCCUCUAUGUGUCAAUCACUGUGAAGGGGGUGUGGCCUCUCUGUGUGGCCACUUUUCAGCUCUGAGCUGCAAUAAUAACCAUCAUACAAGGAAAUGACUGAGAUCUGCAGAACGAUAAUCCUGGAGCCCAGACGGCCUCUCUCUGUGUGUGUGUGUGUGUGUGUGUGUGUGUGUGUAACUGUGUGCUGCUCUAUUAGAUCUGUUGCACAGACCCAGUGUCUAAUCUGGAACCAUUCCACGCUUUUUCUAAUCCGGUAAAAUUGGUUCGGUUCCACAACUAAACUGCUGCUUGUCUGAAACGGAGAGCUAUUAGGACCUCAGGGGGCGGAGUCAUUCCAUCACCAUGACAACUACUCAAGCCACAGGUCACAGUGCUGUGAAAAAGCAUUUGCCCCUGAUUUUGCCCUCCUGAUUUCUUCUGUUGUUGUAUACAUCUCACAGUAAACUGUUUCAGAAAUGAAAACAAAAGUUUUUCACCCUGAUGACGGGUGCUGGAUCACCGUUCUUUGCUUCAAUAAAAAUAAAUAAAAGAAUUAAAAACUGUAUAGUGUGUGUACUCGGGUCGCCUGCGUCUUAUACUGUAUUUCGUUCGAAGAUUAUAAAACUAUUCAAACUGAUUAUUAUUUUAUAUUUAUUCAAAGAAUGAAUCAGCGAGUAAAUAACUUCUCAUUUUUGCACAGAAUUCACACUGAAAUUAAUUUUUGUAUCAAAUCCAUUAAAAAAUGUUUAAUGUUAAAUGAAUAAUUUACUUUUUUUACUUUUUAAUUUUACAUGAAUUAUUAAUUAUAUAAUGUAAAUGGCGCACUUAUAUAGCGCUUUUAUCCAAAGUGUUUUACACUGUGUCUCAUUCACCCAUUCACACACACACACACCCCCCACUCACACACACACCAGUGAUAGCAGAGCUGCCACGCAAGGUGCUAACUUGCCAUCGGGAGCAACUUGGGGUUCAGUGCCUUACCCAACGACACUUCGGUAUGUGGAGUCACGUGGAGUCAUGUGGAGUCACGUGGAGUUAUGUGGAGUGGGUGGAGUCAUGUGGGCCGGGAAUCGAACCGCCGACCCUACGAGUAGUGGACGACCCGCUCUACCACCUGAUCCACAGCUGCCAGUGUCAUUGUUGUAAUAGUUUACUUGUUACAUAUCUUGCUAAAAAUCCUUGCUGUAACAUUAAUUAUUAAUUAUUUAAACUUGUAAUUAUGUUCAUUUUUUCUUUUUUACCAAGCAGUAAAUCAGAAUGUGUGAUGACAGUUAUGUGAAAUUACAAUAUUUUUAUUGUGGUUAUGUUUUUACUUUUUUUUAAAAAAAUGUUUUACCCCAAAAUACAGACGAUUAUCAAAGAGAUGUUUAUUAUCUCAACCUUGUUCCUCCGCUACAGCGCUAAUGUAGCUAAAAGGCAGUGGAAGCUUAUAGCCAACAGUUUAGCAUGAAAUUUUUAUUUCUCUUUUUUACCCAACACACUCAGAGACGUACGAGAAACUAAACCUGAUGUACGCUUGGCUGCAGUGCAUUAUGGGUAACUCACAGUGAGAAUAACAGCAUAUAAACACUCCAGCGUCAAAUAACCGCCAUUAAAAAUCUGUGUGUUAGUGUUUGGGUCGAAGCCUAAAUCAGCAACGGCUUCAACACACACUGGAGAGAUGCAUUUAUUUGUGUGUGUGUGUGUGUGUGUGUGUGUGUGUGAGAGAGAGAGUGUAUGUGUGUCUUCACUGCGGCUCACAAGAGCAAAUCAAGCAGCAAUUCGAGAGCUCUUUCAUUAGUGUGUGUCCCUGUACAACACACACACACACACACACACACACACACACAGCCAGAUGGCCACUUUGUGCCGCGUCUUCCGCUCUGCAAUUACACUCGUUCUCUUUCCCUCCUUCCUCUAUCAGGGACUAUGUGUGUGUGUGUGUGUGUGUGUGUGUGUGUGUGUGUGUGUGUGUGUGUGUGCCAUCUGCAGGAAAACUGGUUUUCAUGCAAUUAACUACAGGAACAGGCCAAACUGCCACAAUAAAGAGUAAAUGAUGAAAAAGCUGUAUUAGAGAAGCUGAAGGGAAAAGAGAAGAUUGAUUCAAUUCAACUGAAUUGAUUCAAUUCACUGUGAUAUUUGAAACUGAGUCAUUUACAGUGAAUCAAAACAAUAAUUAAUUUUCCAAAGUUUACUCAUCAAAUCAAAUCAUGCUGAAAUUUCAGACGUCACUGAAUCAUUCACAUUAAGAAGAAGAAGAAUCCUAACUGAAUCAAAUCAUGGCGACAUUUGGCACAUCACUGAAUCAUUUACAGUGAAUAGAAUCAAUAAAUCGUUUCCCAAACAUCCUAAUUGAAUCUAAUCACUGUGAUAUUUGAAACUUCACUGAAUCAUAUACAUUGAAUCAAAACACUAAAUUGUUUUCCAAAGAAUCCUAAUCGAAUCGAAUCAUGAAGUUAUUUGAGACCUCACUGAAUCGUUUAUAGUGAAUCAAACCAAUAAAUCAUUUAUCAAAGAAUCCCAACUGAAUCGAAUCAUGGUGAUGCUCCAGACUUGACUGAAUUGUUUGCACUGAAUCAAAAAUGAGUCAUUUCUCAAAAAAUCUGAAUCAAACUGAAUCUUGGUGAUAUUUUAUACUUCUCUGAAUCACUUACAUGAAAUCAGAACCUUAAAUCAUUUCCAAAGAAUCCAAAUCAAAUCAAAUCAGGGUAAAAUUUGGUACCUUCACUGAACCUUUUACAGCGAAUCAAAACCAUUAAUCGUUUCCCAAAGAACAGUAAUCGAAUGACAGUAAAAUGUAAGAAUUCAUUGAAUCAUUUAUAUUAAAUCUAAACAAUUCAUUGUUUCUCAAAGAAUCCCAGUUGAACUGAAUCAUGAUAUUCAAGACUUGACUGAACUGUUUCUAUUGAAUCAAAGCAAUGAACACUUUCUCAAAAAAAUCUGAAUCAAAUCUUCUUGAUAUUUGAUACUUAACUGAAUCACUUACAUUGAAUCAGAACAAUAAAUAAUUUCCCAAAGAAUAAUAAUCUAAUCUAAUCUAAUCAUUGAGAUAUACAAUACUUCACUGAAUUAUUUACAUUGGAUGAAGAAUCCUAUUUGAAUAAAAUCUUGGUGAUAUUCGAGACUUCGAGACUGAAUCGGUUACACUGAAUCAUUUCCCAAGGAAUCCGAAUCAAAUCGAAUAAAGGUGAUCAUUUGAUAUUUCACGGAAUCAUUUUACAAUUAAAUCAAGAAUCCUGUUUAAAUCUAAUUGAACUAAAUCAUAGUGGUGAUUUAAAAGAUGUCGUCACCAUGGUAACUAAACUGUUUAGCUUCCCCUGAAGGCAGUAUUUAGGUUGGGUUAAUUCCUCGUAUUCAGAGUCCGGGUUUCGCACAUAGAGGUAUCAGAGGACUGAGACAGAGUUUUCUAAUAGACACUAAGUUUUUUUUUAUAUUAUAUAUAUAUAGUAUUAUAUUAUAAUAGUAUAUACCUCACUGUAGUCCAAAUAUUUCGUGUUAUCUGACAGGCAUUUUAGUCCGCUAACUCUAGCUAGCUAGCUAAGAUACAGCGUAGAGAACAUCACCUCUGGUCGCUUCCAGUUUUUAAUUUAUCUGUGUCUUAUUCUAAUUUUAUAUCUAAUUUGUGUAUUUUUUUUCUCUCCAGCCUGAUAAACAUUUGGCAGUUUCACUGAGUCAAUUUGACUGAAUUGAAGCUCUGAACUGAUUCCUGAAUGAAUCAAUCAAAGCGAAUCAUUUCAUCAUUUAAUCAUGAGGUCACAGAGUUGCACUCAAGCCACCUGUGGUUCUCUGCAGCAGUCUCUCCUGCGUGUGCUCCGUGUUGUUGGGCAGGUCGAAGCCGUUCUCCUCCACCUCAUCCUUCACUUCCUCCUCCUUUCCCUCCUCUGCUGGUUUCUGUCGUUUAACAGCGCUCGCCG